rnacentral:rRNA from 1 species
UACGAAGGGGGCUAGCGUUGCUCGGAAUCACUGGGCGUAAAGGGCGCGUAGGCGGCGUUUUAAGUCGGGGGUGAAAGCCUGUGGCUCAACCACAGAAUGGCCUUCGAUACUGGGACGUUGAGUAUGGUAGAGGUUGGUGGAACUGCGAGUGUAGAGGUGAAAUUCGUAGAUAUUCGCAAGAACACCGGUGGCGAAGGCGGCCAACUGGACCAUUACUGACGCUGAGGCGCGAAAGCGUGGGGGAGCAAACAGG